ACGACUCUCGGCAACGGAUAUCUCGGCUCACGCAUCGAUGAAGAACGUARCARAAUGCGAUACUUGGUGUGAAUUGCAGAAUCCCGUGAACCAUCGAGUUUUUGAACGCAAGUUGCGCCCGAAGCCAUCCGGUUGAGGGCACGUCUGCCUGGGCGUCAC
rnacentral:rRNA from 1 species